GUAAAUAUAGUUUAAACUAAAACAUUAGAUUGUGAAUCUAACAAUAGAAUAUAAAACUUCUUAUUUACC
rnacentral:tRNA from 1 species